CGUGACCAUGAGAGGUUUACUUGCUCUCUUUCCUCACAGUGACCACCGGCCUCUUCAUAGAGGGAGUCCCCAGGUCCUCUGUGUCACUCAUGUCUGCAUUCACGCAUCACAGUGACUCUGACAUGGUCCUGAGAGGAGGGCAUUAGGAAGGUUCUGUGGGCAGAGAGGAUCAUCCAACUAAAAAGAGGCUCAAACUCCUCACACAGGGCAAUGAGGAAGUAUGAGCAAAAAGGCUCAAAAUGGAACGCAAUGGUAAUGUAGGAGCCCUUGACAGACCACCGUGACGGGACUGACAGAGCCUCCAUAUCUGCAAAGGGACAGACCACUGUGAUGGGACUGACGGAACUUCUGUAUCUGCAAAGGACAGACCACUCUGGUGGGAAUGACAGCUUCCGUAUCCAUGAAGGCAUGGAUAACCCAGGAGCAAAGACAAACAGAAUUCCCUUUCCACUGAGGUUCUACUAACGUGCUCUAGCUCUCAGAUGUGGUUUCUGCAGCCACCUCUGGGAGAGGGUCCUGUACAGCUGACUUCAUGGGGCCUGAUGAGGUGCCAGGGGACCAUGGCCUGGAGCCCAGACUGAGCAAGCUGUCUGAAGGCUUGUCAAACUGCAGUUCUCACCAUUUCUAAGCAUGAGAAGACAGUCUGAGGGGACGCCUCCUCUACUCUUCUAAUACAGUUCUUAGUUCUGCA